UACGGAGGGUGCGAGCGUUGUCCGGAAUCACUGGGCGUAAAGGGCGCGUAGGCGGCUCAUGAAGGCUGUGGUGAAAGUCCGGGGCUCAACCUCGGAUCGGCCGUGGCGGACUCGUGGGCUGGAGCACUGUAGAGGCGGGUGGAAUUCCGGGUGUAGCGGUAGAAUGCGUAGAGAUCCGGAAGAACACCGGUGGCGAAGGCGGCCUGCUGGGCAGUUGCUGACACUGAGGCGCGGACAGCGUGGGGAGCAACAGG
rnacentral:rRNA from 1 species